AACGAACGCUGGCGGCAUGCCUAACACAUGCAAGUCGAACGAGACCUUCGGGUCUAGUGGCGCACGGGUGCGUAACGCGUGGGAACCUGCCCUUAGGUUCGGAAUAACUCCCCGAAAGGGGUGCUAAUACCGGAUAAUGUCUUCGGACCAAAGAUUUAUCGCCUUUGGAUGGGCCCGCGUUGGAUUCGCUAGUUGGUAGGGUAAAAGCCUACCAAGGCGACGAUCCAUAGCUGGUCUGAGAGGAUGAUCAGCCACACUGGGACUGAGACACGGCCCAGACUCCUACGGGAGGCAGCAGUGGGGAAUAUUGGACGAGGGGCGAAAGCCUGAUCCAGCAAUGCCGCGUGAGUGAUGAAGGCCUUAGGGUUGUAAAGCUCUUUUACCCGGGAUGAUAAUGACAGUACCGGGAGAAUAAGCACCGGCUAACUCCGUG
rnacentral:rRNA from 1 species